AUACGGAGGGUGCAAGCGUUAAUCGGAAUUACUGGGCGUAAAGCGCGCGUAGGCGGCUGAUUAAGUCGGAUGUGAAAUCCCUGGGCUCAACCUAGGAACUGCAUCCGAUACUGGUCAGCUAGAGUUUUGGAGAGGUAAGUGGAAUUUCCGGUGUAGUGGUGAAAUGCAUAGAGAUCGGAAGGAACACCAGUGGCGAAGGCGACUUACUGGCCAAAAACUGACGCUGAGGUGCGAAAGCGUGGGGAGCAAACAGGAUUAGAAACCCCAGUAGUCC
rnacentral:rRNA from 1 species